rnacentral:lncRNA from 1 species
GUUUUUCUACUUUUGGUUUAAUUAUAAUGUGGAUCACUUGAUUAAUUAAAUAAGUUCCUGUAGACUUCCCCCACCCUUACCCUGAGGAAGUCUCCUAUUAUUCUUUCUGGAUGAUUAUUAUUUGUGUUUUAGACCUAUAAGAGAUAUAGCUUCUUCAGAACUGUCUUUGUUGGUAAGUUUCAACUAUUCAUCAUUUCAUGUGUUAACAUAUGCCAAUAGCUAUCUACAUCACUUGGCUAGAUCAGCAGUCAGAAGAGCCAUGUAGUCUUAAGUCAAUUAUAAACAAUGUGGUUUUUUUCCUCUCUCUCUCUCCUUUUUUUUUUUUCCCUCUUUUAAAUGACCUUUUAUAACUAUUUGCUCUCCAACAGGAUGAUUAUACGAGGCUGAAGAUGAAGUUUGUCUUAUGUGGCUAGAGCCAACAUCUAAUCAAAUGUUGUGAUUUGCAGCAGAGUCAGUCAAGGACAAAUUGGAUUAAACAGUUAUGUCAGAUCAAGGGAGGAGCACCAUCGGCAUCAAACAACAGGCUGUUAGAAAGGAAGCAAUGCAACAGCAUCAAGCUUGGCAAGUGGAACCUCCAGGAAACCAAAGCAUUUUGUGCUUUAUAGAUCGACACCACAUCGACCCUUCUGAGGUUUCCUUUUCAUUUUGCAAGAACGAACGCGGAGAGAUUUAUACCUGGGAAUAUCACUUGACACAAAAAUGGAUAGUGGAUAUAAUUAUAUAUAAAAGCUCCCCUGUUACAGAAAAAAAUAAGGUCUUUAAUAACCUAGUUUGUGGGCUAUAGAAGGAAAACAAAGGCAGUAUACUCAUAAGCCAGACAGAGGAGAUGCUUUCUACUAUUGCUAUUGAUUAGUAACUAAGGCAAUGCUCUGAAAAGGUCUGAUAUAAAUGUAAUACAGGGAGUAACUGAAUGAGCUCAUCACAGGAUGCAUGAUCUA